GACAGAGGGUGCAAACGUUGUUCGGAAUUACUGGGCGUAAAGCGCGUGUAGGCGGCUUGGCAAGUCGGGUGUGAAAGCCCUGGGCUCAACCUAGGAAGUGCACUCGAAACUGCCUCGCUUGAAUGCCGGAGAGGAAAGCGGAAUUCUCGGUGUAGAGGUGAAAUUCGUAGAUAUCGAGAGGAACACCGGUGGCGAAGGCGGCUUUCUGGACGGUGAUUGACGCUGAGACGCGAAAGCGUGGGGAGCAAACAGGAUUAGAAACCCCCGUAGUCC
rnacentral:rRNA from 1 species